rnacentral:rRNA from 1 species
CUACGGGAGGCAGCAGUGGGGAAUAUUGCACAAUGGGCGCAAGCCUGAUGCAGCGACGCCGCGUGAGGGAUGACGGCCUUCGGGUUGUAAACCUCUUUCAGCAGGGACGAAGCGUGAGUGACGGUACCUGCAGAAGAAGCACCGGCCAACUACGUGCCAGCAGCCGCGGUAAUACGUAGGGUGCAAGCGUUGUCCGGAAUUACUGGGCGUAAAGAGCUCGUAGGCGGUUUGUCGCGUCGUCUGUGAAAACCAGCAGCUCAACUGUUGGCUUGCAGGCGAUACGGGCAGACUUGAGUAUUUCAGGGGAGACUGGAAUUCCUGGUGUAGCGGUGAAAUGCGCAGAUAUCAGGAGGAACACCGGUGGCGAAGGCGGGUCUCUGGGAAAUAACUGACGCUGAGGAGCGAAAGCGUGGGUAGCGAACAGGAUUAGAUACCCUGGUAGUCCACGCCGUAAACGGUGGGCGCUAGGUGUGGGUUUCCUUCCACGGGAUCCGUGCCGUAGCUAACGCAUUAAGCGCCCCGCCUGGGGAGUACGG